GGAGGAGAGCCAAUGUCCGUUGCAAACGUGCGCAGCGGCUCUCUUCCAUCCUUCUGUUAACGUUUCUUGGUAUUCAGUUACUGGUUUCGGGCUCAGAUAUUUUACCUUGAGAAAAUUAGAGUGUUUCAGGCAGGCUUGCGCCGGAAUACAUUAGCAUGGAAUAAUAGAAUAGGACUUGAAUCUCCUUUGUUGGUUUGAGGGAUUUAAGUA
rnacentral:rRNA from 1 species